AUUGAACGCUGGCGGCAGGCCUAACACAUGCAAGUCGAGCGGAUGAAGGGAGCUUGCUCCUGGAUUCAGCGGCGGACGGGUGAGUAAUGCCUAGGAAUCUGCCUGGUAGUGGGGGAUAACGUCCGGAAACGGGCGCUAAUACCGCAUACGUCCUGAGGGAGAAAGGGGGGGAUCUUCGGACCUCACGCUAUCAGAUGAGCCUAGGUCGGAUUAGCUAGUUGGUGGGGUAAAGGCCUACCAAGGCGACGAUCCGUAACUGGACUGAGAGGAUGAUCAGUCACACUGGAACUGAGACACGGUCCAGACUCCUACGGGAGGCAGCAGUGGGGAAUAUUGGACAAUGGGCGAAAGCCUGAUCCAGCCAUGCCGCGUGUGUGAAGAAGGUCUUCGGAUUGUAAAGCACUUUAAGUUGGGAGGAAGGGCAGUAAGUUAAUACCUUGAUGUUUUGACGUUACCAACAGAAUAAGCACCGGCUAACUUCGUG
rnacentral:rRNA from 1 species